AAGCUCGUAGUUGAAUUUCGGGGUUCUACCGUUGGUCGGGCUAACCAGUCUGUACUAGCGUGUAGAGUUCCUACCUUCUGGGGAACCAUCAUGUUAUUAAUUUAGCGUGGUGGGAAACCAGGACCUUUACCUUGAAAAAAUUAGAGUGUUCAAAGCAGGCUUACGUCUGAAUACAUUAGCAUGGAAUAAUAAAAUAGGACGGUGGUCCUGUUUUGUUGGUUUCUGAAUCACCGUAAUGAUUAAUAGGGAUAGUUGGG
rnacentral:rRNA from 1 species